ensembl:lncRNA
AUCCACGGGAAGCUGUUGCGCAUGCGCAGACAGCGCUUGAGCACAGAGAUGUGGUCGGUCAGGUGCAGGUAGGUAGGGCGGGGCUCGGUGCUGGCGAUCGAAUAAAGUUGUGGAGUAAAGCUAAGUUGCCGGAGUGGAGAAAGAUGGUGAUUGGUUUCAUCCGCGAACAGGAAGAGGAGACAAGGCGCGUAACUGCGACGUCACAUGGUGUGCAAGGGCGAUGUUUGGCUUGGGAGCAUGUGGAGAAAUGGAAGAUCAGCUGGCGUGAUCUGUGGGCGAUGGACGCCGGUCGUAUUAUGUUUCUCAUCGGAGCCACCUACGAUGUUCUCCCUACUCCGCAGAAUCUUAAUCGCUGGGAGAAUCUGCCGACUCAACAUAGACCCAGCGGAUUUGGAGCACCUACGAGAAGCGGUGUCCGCGCAGGGUACACUUCUUGGAUUGCACGAGCAGACUCUGUGGCAAAUUUUAAAGACGCUUCAGAACCUGAGGCCAGCGGCUUCUGAGCCUGAAGCCGCCAGGGCAUCUCCGCUGGCUGUCGCAGAAAUGCCUGCGGCUGCCAUCACAGCUGCUCCUGUGUCAUCACCAAUCACCCCGAUCCUGCCAACGAUGGACCCCCGACUAACACCAAAAAGUAUGAUGGGGCACCCAAAAAAUGCCUGGGGUUUAUUCUGCAAUGCAAGCUGGUGUUUGCAAGCCAUCCGCAGAUAUAUCAGUCUGACAUAAGUCGGAUUACCUACAUAAUUUUCCUGCUGACGGGACCCACGUUAGACUGGGCCACGGCGGUAUGGUACAAGAAGAACACCACUUAUACGUGCUUCCUCAACCAGUUUCAGGCAGUGUUUGAUCUCCCAUUUUCGGCGCGUGCCGCCAGCGACCGCUUAAUGGUAAUCCAGCAGGGGAGCCGGACCAUAGCCACCUACUCCCUGGAGUUCUGGACGCUGGCUGAGAAGAGCAGCUGGAAGCAGACAGCCCUCCUGGCCUCCUUCCGCCACAGGCUGCACCCCUGGAUUCAGGCAGAGCUAGUGUACCUCGGGGAGGAUUGGACCUUGGGCCACUUCAUUGAAAAUGCCAUAAUCAUGGACAACCUUGCUCGGGAGCAUCUUCCCCAUCCAUGGGUGCCCCCAUCGGAGACAGUGAUACUAUCGGAGGCCCCGGACCCAUGCAGCUGGGCCAAGGGCACCUCUGUCCAGAGGAACAAAUGUGGUGGAUCCAGGGCCAGCUAUCCCUGUACUGCAGAGGAGCGGGGCAUUACCGAGCCAGCUGUGAAGCCCUGUGAAGUCCUGUGAAGCCCUCCAGUCAGCCCCAACACGGAACCGAGGUGAGUGCUGCUCUCCGCACCAAAUCCCAACUAACGUUCCGUUAGAGGCGAGCUGGGGGUCCUCCCAGGUACAAACCCGCAUGUUGGUCUAUUCAGGGGCCGUGAGUUGUUUUAUGGAUAUUAACUUCGCACAGCUCCAUGGCAUAACGAUAUGCGAAUGUGAGAUCAUCCAACGGAUCAAGGCCCUAGACAGGCAACCGCUGGGCACGGGUGUAGUGGAGAAACAAACCAUACUGUUACAGGUCCGGGUCGAGGCUUGCCAUACCGAGGACCUCGCGUUCUAUUUGAUCAGGUCACCAGAGACGCCGGUGAU